UAUUAGACAUAUGUAUAAUUCUGCCAUAUGUUCAAAAAGCCUUUACUGCAGUGCUAAGUUUGCAGCAUUUUUUUGUAAAAGCAAAAAAAAAAGUGCAAUAGAAUAAUAAUUUAGCAUUGCAGUAAAUGCAUUGUGAAUAUACGCUCACUCAUAAUUUGUGUUAUAGAUCAAUGAAAUUGUUGCGUUAUUCACUGCCAAGACAUCUCAUUGUAUGCAAAUAUAAGACGGUAUCAAUUAGUGCAACUUCAAAACGUGACAUUGCCAACAAACACAGAAAACAAAUGUUUAAAUCAAAUAAUAAAAGAGCAUUACAAAUGCUUAAAUAAAAAGUCACUACACACUGCCUAUAAUUGAAUGACCUGUUAAGUUGUUUAGUAUUUAAAUAUUUUAUUUGUGAUUUAAUAAUCUACAUGCUAAACAGUUCUGGCCAAUUGGCCCUUUUCUUGAUUAGAUCUCACAGGGUUUCCUCCCUGGUAAAUGAAUGUGCAGCCUGUGGUUAAUCUUAAGGUGUAGUCUUCACCAGAGAAUACAAAGUGUAAAUGUACAUUGUAACACGAUUGAGUUCUGUGAUCAUUAUCCUACUAAAAAAAGAAACAAAAAAUGUUUUCAUGAAUGUCUUUUAAGAUUAUAAUUGAACUAAAAUCCUCUACAGUCCAACAUUUGUUUGAAGUGAAUUAACUUUGUCUUUGACUAGGCUAGGUACACUGCAGUCAACCGGCAGAUUCUUGCCAAUUGUGUCAUCCCUAUUGUGUGAGCAACAUGAUUUGCAAUGUUAAACCUUUGUAAUGCAUUUGAAUUCUAUGUGAAAUUAUAUUAACCUAAAUUCAUGUAAUGUCACACAUUUCUGUAUAUUACCUGGAGAACUGCUUAUCCAACUGUCAUGAAACUGGGUAUUAACAUUAUUUAUUGACAUUAUGACAUUGUGGGGAUAUACUUAUACAGUAUCAGGACAACCACUUAUCCAAUUGUCAUGAAACCUGCUCCUAUAGCUUCUGCUUUGUAUUGCUUUAGCACAAUCUCUUCGUAGGGAUCACAUCAUUUUUCUAUGCAAACAAAUAAAUAAGACCGUUCUCCCUUAGAUUCCCUCCCAUAUUUCCACAGUAUUGAACAUUGACAUUACUUCUUAAGCACAGUAUAUGCAAGCCUAGAUCCACACAUUAAAGAAGGUAACUAGUAAUAAGCCUUUCAGUACCCCCACUGUAAUUAUACUGCCAGAUAUACGUAUUGAUUAUUCUGAAAUAGGCACAAAGCAAACUGGUGGAAGUUUAGAUUAUCCACCACUUUGGUCUUUGGAAAAUAGACACAGACUCUUAGAGCAUUAUAUAUUCCACCAAAAAGAAAGCGUAUGAAUAACUAAUGAACCAAAGUGGCAGAUAGAUUCCCGCCAUGUUUAAAGCAGCUUUAGAAAACACUCAAUUGGUGGGAAAAACAGGUGCAGAAACAAUGGUCGAAAUAAUGGAGCAGCACGCUAUCCUCCUGCGGAUCCCCUUUGAAAAUAACCCCCUACUGUUUAAAUGUGACCAUUGAACCAAGAAGUUUGAAACUUGUUGAAUCAUGUGUUUCUUAGUGCAGUUAAGCAAUACCCUUGAACUUAAUCAUACUGUAAUAAAGAUUACAAAAACAAAGUGACUGAACAUAGAAAAGCAAUCUCUAUUUCAUUGUGUAAAAAAUAGUAGAUUCCACCACGACCCUUGGAAAAUUCCUAUUUGAAAACAUGACUCGAAAAUGGGAAUAGAUACAAAUCACAUGUUUAAACAAUCCUUUUAAAUCAGGCUGGUUGGAAUGGUCAGUAUUCCAUCUGUACCUGUUCCUGAGUAUAUAAUUACAGUGACAGUGGUGUGUUUUGGAUCAAAUCAUGGGGUUUUAUAAAAGCAAACUGUACUUGUUCUAGGGCUAUAGCAUUUUGAUUGUAUUUAUGAUAUGAUAAAGAUAGGAUCAGGAUUAGUAUUCCAGCGAGGGUGUUAUUUACACUAUAUUGUGUUGUGCUUUUGCUGGAUAAUAUGAUUUGAAAUUCCCAAAAAAGUGAAUUAAAGAGAGAGAUACCAUUUGUCAUAUAAUUAAAUGUAUUUGCACAAGGCACACGAUAAACACACCAUCUGCACGAGUAACUGGGUUUGAUAAAUGAAGACCAUAGGAAAAUGAAUUUAGUAUGGUUGCAUAGAUUUGUGGGAAAAGUCAUGGAUAUCAGGUGUACACUGACCAGUGUUACUGUGUGAUACAUUGUUAGGGCAGUGACACAAGUGGGACUGUAAUGCCAAAUCAAAAACAAAUGAUCUGUACGAUGACAAAUAAGAAUCUAAUUAAACUUGUUGGUCGGAUUUUUGGUGCAACCUUUCCGCAUUGCUCUCUCUGGAAUUUUUAGUUUCAGUUCUAGAUAUUCAAAAUGCUGAUAAAAACUCUGUGUUUAAGGAAGCAGCAACUGCUGGUCAAAGGACACUGUAAAUUAUCUGGAGGCUGUGAGUACAGUGUCAGGCUCUACAACAGCAACUCGCACAACACUAACUGAAAAACUCAAAGGCUGCUUUAUAUCAAGCUACCGAUUUAUAAUGGCUUUCUCAGGACAUGAUUAUUAUGAGGAAGACAGUGAAGAAGUGUCCUAUGACAGCAGUUCUGAGUCUGAGAUCCAAGCUGACAGUCCAAGAGAUGUACACAACACACCAUGCAAGUUUUAUAACCGGGGAAAUUGCAAGGAUGGAAGUCAUUGUCGUUAUCUGCAUGUUUGUGAAUACUACUUCAAAGGCAAUUGCAAGUAUGGAAGCCAGUGCAAAUACUCCCAUAGUGAAGAUGGAGAUGAUUUUGAUUCCCAAAGCCAGGAACCCAGGGAUAAACCCUACCAAUGGCAGAUUAGAAGUGGAUCAAAGUGGUACGAUGUCGAAAUGGACUGGAUUAUUGAAGCCCAGUAUUCACUACCAGAUGUGAAAGGAAUUAAGUUGUACAAUACAAAAUUUGGGAUGAUUUGUAUUAACUUCAAUGCCAUGAGAGUCCAAGGCAAACAGCUUGGUGUUCGACGUCAGACAUUUCCAAAUUCCAGUCAGAAAACUGCAUGGUUAUGGUUUUUCCGUGGUGAUACAAAAUGGCAUAUACUUGGAAAACAGGAUUCUCAAGACAGUUCUCUUUCUUUCACAAAUGCAGAUAUUGAGAGAGAGUACCAGCGGAAUAAACAUGGUUUGUUUCAGUUUUCGGUAGGAACUAAAUCCUAUCAUAUUAAUUUUCAAGAAAUGAAUCAAAUCAAUAUCAGCUCUAAAAGUGAGAGAAGAGUAAGACGCCGCCCAGUGUUUGCUGUUUCAAAACAUGGAGGCAGGCAAGUUUUUUACCUUGCAGGAACUAUUAGGAGAUGAAGUGGACAUUUGGAAAAAUCCCUAACUUCAAAAAGCUGUAGUUUUGUCAUUUAUUUUUUAAUUGAAAAUGUAAAAACUAUGUCAAUAUCUUGUUGAAUUACCUAUAUGUUGUUGUAAAGGAUUUUUAUUAUUGUUAUUUUAGUCUCUCAACAUCUUUGAGCAGCAAGAGGUGGCAAUAUUCUGAUAGCAAAGGAAGCUGGUAUGACUUCAAACACAUGAGCUGCUCAGUUCAAAGCAAAGAUAUUGAAGAUGAAUACCAGAGAAAUCCGAAUGGAAAGAUGAAGUUCACUAUUGGACCUACAAUACGGGAGUUAGACUUUUCAGCAAUGACACAGAUAAACCUAUCCACUGGAAGAGUGCGUGCUGUUCGGAGAGUCUAGCUAUCCCGUCCAUUUCUGCACACUGAUUGGAAGACAAAGAUGAAAAAGAAAACACAACAACUGGUUCAAAUUCACAAUGUUUCAUGUGUUUUCUGAAAAGUCUAAAAAUCACUGGUUAAUGUCAGCUAAUUUAGAACAUGUAGAAUACCACAGACUCCUUAUAUUAAAUUACUAGUUUUUUUUUUCUUACUGUAUUUCAGUGGGUGUUUAUAUCUUUAGUAUUUUGUGAUACACUGCAACAGGCUGGGUUACUUUGGGGCAGGUUUAUUGUUGACUAAGGUGACCAGAUUUUGAAGUCCUUAAACUGAGACAGUGGUGGAAAUAUUGUGAAUAACUUCCAACAUCCAAACAACAGGGAAGCUCUAGGUUUUUUAUUUUCACUUUGGCAAUGUUUGAUCUAAUAUUAUAUUACAAGUGAAUGCAGAGGCUCAUGGGGAUAUUCAGAGUAGACUCAUUCACUUUCAAAAACUUUUUAUUGUGAAUAAAUUAUCUUAUUGUCUUUGUAAUUUCAUUUGUACACAACAAGUAUAGUUAUUACAUUACACAGUAGUAAUUUCGUAAUAUAAAAUUCUGAGAUUCUGUUGUAUUGCUGAUUACUACUACAAAUCUAGUCCCUUUUAUGCCUAAGAAACUGCAUGACUUCUGACUUUGAUUUCCACUUUCCACCUUUCUCUGUCUCUAUCUCUAUGCUAUCUUCCAGUGUCCAACCUGCAAACCAGACCCGUCUUUUAUGGAAACAUUACAU